rnacentral:rRNA from 1 species
CCUACGGGUGGCAGCAGUGGGGAAUAUUGCACAAUGGGGGAAACCCUGAUGCAGCAACGCCGCGUGGGUGAAGAAGUAUUUCGGUAUGUAAAGCCCUAUCAGCAGGGAAGAGAAUGACGGUACCUGACUAAGAAGCCCCGGCUAACUACGUGCCAGCAGCCGCGGUAAUACGUAGGGGGCAAGCGUUAUCCGGAUUUACUGGGUGUAAAGGGAGCGUAGACGGUUGUGCAAGUCUGAAGUGAAAGCCCGCGGCUCAACUGCGGAACGGCUUUGGAAACUGUGUAACUGGAGUGCUGGAGAGGUAAGCGGAAUUCCUGGUGUAGCGGUGAAAUGCUUAGAUAUCGCGCAGAACCCCGAUUGCGAAGGCAGCGUACCGGCUCCACACUGACGCUGAGGCACGAAAGCGUGGGUAUCGAACAGGAUUAGAUACCCCAGUAGUC